GUGAGGAGGAGGAGGAGGAGGAGGAGGAGGAGGGAGCAGGAUGCUCUGACUGUUACCCACAGGAGUGACAGCUCUUUGCUGGGGCUGCCUGCUGCAAUACAUCUCUCCUGGGGCUGGGGCACACCCAUUCCCUGCAAAACGAUGGCAACUUCCAGGAGUGUAGGAAACACAUUAAGGAGCAUUUAUCAAAACUCAAUAAUGACAAAUGAACAAAUUUCUCCAUGGUGUCUAGAGGAUUUCCCCCCGUGCUCUCAUCAUGUAAAUGCUGGUUUACUCAGGAAAACCCAAUGCAUAUUUUAAAGCCUUAUAUGCCAUUUUAAUGACUUUGAGUACUAAUUCCAGAAAUUAUACACUCCCAUUGCUGGAACAAAACCCCAUAAAUUUUCCACUGUAAGGACUGUGUUUGCCUCGUGCUUUGUAUAAGAUCAAAGUGUCCUAUAGAGCCUGCAAUACUAGGAGACAACUAAUACAGUAUUUUUCAACAGGAAUGUUUCUAGGGGUAGAAAAUAAGCCAUUUGCUAGCCAUUACAUCUAUGUAAGUGUCAUCCUGUAUUUUAUUCCCUUUUUUCUUCCUUCUUUCCUCACUCUGUCACUUUUUCUCAAGCUCUCUAGAAACAGCUCCUGGUGCUAAACGGAGCCCCAGUCUGACAGUGUGACUAUUGAGUACAUCCAAGAUUUCUUCCUGCAAUAUCAGGUGUGCUUUGAGGAUUAGACAGCAGAGCCCUCGCCAGAUGCCUUUGCUAUCAAGCUUCAUGAAAUCUGCUCUGACAGGGGCAGGCGAUCCCCGCUCAGAGCCUGCUGACAGGGCUGUCUGCCUUGUGAUGCUCAGCUUUAUUUUUGGAGCGCUCAAUGUCUUGAAUGUGUUAGGUUCUGAGAUGCCAUUUUGCUUUCUCCCAAAAUAAAUUCACAGUCUUUGUAGUUGAGGGCAAAAAUGCCAAGAUUGUAUUUUUCUUUCCAUUGUUUAAGAGAAGACAAAGAAGAUAAUGAAGAAGAAUUAUCCUCUAAAGUUACUUUUUUAUGUAUUUCAAAGAAGGAAGAAAAGGCAUGAGGUCCUUUUUGCUUUUCAGAUCACCUUGACUUCCCAUUUGCCAUUCCCACACAACCCUCUUUGUCCUUGGUGAAAGGAACCAAAAUACAGUGAGUUUUUACUUCUUGGUUUGUUGGGUUUUUUUUACACUUAGCUCCCCAACUGAAAUCAAAGUGGUCCUGGUGCAGCUGGGAGAGGGGCAGCUCCCUGUUCCCAAGGGACUGUGCUGUUACAUUUCCUUUGGGCACAAUGGGAUGCAACGUGUCCCAUCUCGGGAUCCCCCCUCAGAGUCUUUAGUAAAAUUUCUCUUUUAAAAAGAAGGCAGAAAGCAUAUUUAAGCAGAUAAUACAUUUUUACUUGUUUUCUUUUUUGCUGUGCUUGGACUUUCCUUGGAAAGGAUGGAGAAGGGAGGAUGUAAGAGGAUGGAUGUUACCACGGAACCUCAGGCUUUGGUGAGAUUAAAAAGCCUCCCUUGUGGUCACUGAAGUUGGUAGGAGAAGGUAAAAGUUGGUGACACUGGCUUUUGGUUUGCUGUUUGCAUGAAAUUUGUCUGUGCUGAUCUUCAGGUCAGCAGAACAUCAGCACUCCUGUAAUGCCAACUCAGGCUCUGUUCAUGGCAGAGGGCUCCCAAAAAAGGGAUUUGUUCACCUGUCCAGGCUGAAAAAUCUCUUAAUUCAUUGUGGGCACAGCUGGGUCAUGAAUUGCAUCAACAGGAGAUGUUAUGGGUUUCCUUGCUGUUGCAAGUAGGUGGGUGUAGGCACACAGUUUGUGGUGAUUGGGAGCAGGGCUGAGCCCCAUCCCCAGUGGGUACAGCUGUGCAGGACAGGUGAAUGACAUUGAAGGUAACGAGCCAUGGAGUGCCCAGGGGCACUGAGCAACCACCAAAGGGAGCAGAGGGCACACAGGGGCAGGGCAUCAGCAUCAGGGGAUAAAAGGCUGGGCUAAAGAACAAGAAGGGCAGACAUUUACAGCCUUCUGAAGUGGUGAGUGUUACUCUGUACAUCAUGGCUGUCUCAACUGUGAUACAUGCUGCUGACAGGAGGGAAAUAAAAAGGGUCAAAAAAGCAUGUAAUUCUUCAGGAAGGAAAAGUGAAGCAGUUAAGAAUAAUCUUAUUCUCAUGCAGGCUAAUUCUAAAGCAUUUCAAGCACUGAGCUGUUAGUGCCUUCAGUGGACAGCCUUGUGACACCUGUGAGGAAGGCAUUUAUAUAUAAAUGACCUCUCUCUUGGGCCAUGGCAUGGCCUUUGCAAGCAUGACCCAGUGGACUGACUGCUCCCAGGAGAUCCCUUUCUGCUCCAGAGAGAGUGCCCUGACAUCCUUCUGCCCACUCUGCUUCGAGGUAAUGUGUAACAGACUGCCAGACCUUUUGGGAAUAAUCUUCUCCAUCCACUUGCAGCUCUGAUGUGAAAGCCUGUGAGAGCUGAAGGUUAAGCAGUUCAAGUUCUGGCUGGAAGAUGCUGCUGACUUUCUACGUGAACUCUGAAAUAGGCACUCAAAGGUUACACCUGCAGCUUCGUGGCACAGCUGCCUCUUACUCAUGCCCUUGAGCUGAGAAGGUAACAGAGGCAGGGACAAACCAGCUCUGUCCUGCUACGGGCAGGCUGAAGCCAAUCUGCUCUGCUGCUGCUCUCUUUGGAGCACAGCGUUCCCAAUAUGGAGUUUCAGCAGUACUCAACUUCAAAACUGGUCUGUGUCUGUCUGGGUGGGUGACAGUCACCUGGUGACUCUGCUGCUUCUGCCUUCAUCACAUGCUUAUAAUAGUAUUCCAGUUUUUAAGAUGGAGGUCUCAGUGUGCCAAUAAAUGUGGCCUGGACAUGAGAAGUAUGCUAGAGAAAGAAAUAAGCUGGCAGAAAGACACAGCUGUAAUGCUAUUAAAGGUGCUCAUUCUUUUUCUCCUCCUUGUAAUGUUUACUUGGCAGCUUUGCAGCCAAUUCUCUGCAAUCUGUUUGGGAAUACAAAAAAAACAUUUUAUCAGAACUACUUUGUGGGAAGAGCACUGUUCCUCACAGUUUUCUAUUUCCAUACAAGCACUUGUCCUGAGCCAGACUCAAUGCCAUUCAGGUGGGGUGUGCCAGGCAUCCAGAGCCUGGCCAAUCCUCAGGAAGUGAUCAGCAGCAGUCCAUCACACAGAUCCCUCUGCUUGUCCUGAAGUACAGGGUCAUUGGAUUGAGCUGGUGGAUGUUUCAGCUCAUUACCUUCCUAAGUUAAUGGUUCUUGUUACUCAAAUUAGUACUGAGAUGUAAAUUAACCUUUUCCCUCUUAUCUGUUAAAUAAAGGGUUUAAUCUCUAUAUUCAGGAUGUUUCUAAAAGAUUAUUACUCACUAGCACGUGGUUUCAUUGAUUAGUUCCAGUUCUAGCAAUCAUUAACAACUACUGGUAGUUUAAGAAUUACUUCUUAUUUCAAAGGGUGGAAUUUAUUUGGCUUUACACCAAGGCAGGUUCAGUAAACCCUGCUAAACAGUUACCUUUCUCUUCAAUCAUACUUCUGUGUAAAAAGGCAAUGCAUUCCACUGCUUGUGCUUUUUCAACUCUGAUUUUCACCUUUACUGUUAAGAGAACAUGUUGACACAUCAAACAAUGUAACUAACAGGCAAAGCAGAACAAAAUGAAUCACUAUUUAGGCUAUUUUUUUCCUUAUUGACUACGCUUUCCUGUUAAAAUAUAUCAAUCAAAAGACAGAAAUACAACUUAAAAGGUAGAUAACCAGAAGAAAAACUUGCAGAAAUGUACAAGGUGUGAUAAACUGGAUAGAAGAAUUGCAUGAAAAUACACAUAAUGAAAGUGCAAGAAAUGAAACAAAAUGUUUCAUUUAACCUUGAUUAAACAUGACUAAUAGGGCAUGUGUCUUCCUAUCUUGAGAGUUUGUAACUGCUGAAGUCAUGAUACAGUAAGUCAAUGCUGGGGAGCAAGCAGAAAGGUGGCUGGAUGAUGUUUUCCUAACCAUGAUUAUGUGAAUAAUUACAUGCAUCUGUUCUACAUGCCUUCUGACCCAAAAUACUCAAUAUAGUUCACUUUUUAUUUGUUGUCUUGAAGUAUUUUUAGAUUAAAAUAUCCUUCCUACCACAGCUGGGCUGCUCAACUAUGCCACUGUUCUCUGACUCUGUUUUAGCAGAGCUGAUCCCCAAAUAUCCAGGGAGACUUUAAUCAAAUACAGCACGUAUAGCAAACAGCCUGAAAACAAAACAAAAAUUCCCAUUGAAUGGACCACAGUAGGGGCUCAGAUUUGUUCUCAAGUUAGACCUACGAUGUCUUGGGUGAUUAGUGUAGGGCAUUACAAGGUUACUUUCUUUGCAACUAUAUGGCAGAAUAAGAGAUGUCCUAGUAACUCCAGAAUUUGUAUUUCCUAAAAUCAAUAGAAUCAUGUUAUUCAGAUAGGCAACUGGUUUGGCCUUAUGCCUUAUUAUAGGGGUAUCUGAUUGCCCAAAGCUCCAUUUGUUGAUCAAAGAACUAGAUGAAACUUUA